rnacentral:rRNA from 1 species
GUAGGGAACUGAAAGGACGACCUUCGGGAGCCUAUACAGGUGUUGCAUGGCUGUCGUCAGCUCGUGUCGUGAGAUGUUCGGUUAAGUCCGCUAACGAGCGCAACCCUCGUCGUAUGUUAUAUGUGUCAUACGAGACUGCCGGUAAAAAGCCGGAGGAAGGUGAGGAUGAUGUCAAGUCAGCAUGACCUUUAUAUCCAGGGCUACACACACGCUACAAUGGUCUGUACAAUGGGUAGCCAAGCCGCGAGGCGGAGCCAAUCCUGAAAGCAGGCCUCAGUUCAGAUUGCAGUCUGCAACUCGACUGCAUGAAGCCGGAGUUGCUAGUAACCGCAGGUCAGCAAUACUGCGGUGAAUACGUUCCCGGGUCUU